rnacentral:rRNA from 1 species
GUGGGGAAUUUUGGACAAUGGGCGAAAGCCUGAUCCAGCAAUGCCGCGUGAGUGAAGAAGGCCUUCGGGUUGUAAAGCUCUUUUGUCAGGGAAGAAACGGUUUGGGCUAAUAUCCUGAGCUAAUGACGGUACCUGAAGAAUAAGCACCGGCUAACUACGUGCCAGCAGCCGCGGUAAUACGUAGGGUGCAAGCGUUAAUCGGAAUUACUGGGCGUAAAGCGUGCGCAGGCGGUUUUGUAAGUCUGACGUGAAAUCCCCGGGCUCAACCUGGGAAUUGCGUUGGAGACUGCAAGGCUAGAAUCUGGCAGAGGGGGGUAGAAUUCCACGUGUAGCAGUGAAAUGCGUAGAGAUGUGGAGGAACACCGAUGGCGAAGGCAGCCCCCUGGGUCAAGAUUGACGCUCAUGCACGAAAGCGUGGGGAGCAA